AUGUUGGAACUGUUAGGAGCUUGGGAAUCUUCAGACAGAACAGGAGCUUGGUCAUUUAAUCUAGGUACAACAUCCUUCAGUUGUGUUCUAAGCCGAAACAUGGCUUAAUAAAGAAAGGCUAGAAGAAAUUCGGGGUUGUUUGAAUUUGGGUGGUAUGAUUAAAGUAUCUCGUGAAGUAAGAGGGGGUGGGAUUGUUAUUUUUUGGAAAAAGGAUGUCGAUUUCUCUCUAGGCACCUUUUCUCCAAAUCAUAUUGAUGGAAUCUUAAAUAAAGGAAAGAAGGAUGAAUGGCGGUUAUUGGGGUUUUAUGGGGAAUCUGAUACAAGUAACCAUCACCUGUCAUGGACUUGUUUGCAAAGAUUAAAAGCUUGAAAUUCUAUUCCUUGGCUAUGCGUAGGGGAUUUCAAUGAGAUUACUAGGAGUCAUGAGAAACUAGGUGGGAGAUUAAGGCCGGUUAGGCAGAUGCAAGAAUUUAGAGAUGUGUUGGACGAAUUUGGAUUUCGUGACCUUGGUUUUGAAGGGGGGAAGUUUAAGUGGUGUAAUGGUCAGCAUGAUGGUUUCACAGUAUGGGAAAGAUUGGAUAGGGUGGUCGUUAUAAUGGAUUGUUUACCAACAACUAAGGUAGUCCAUAUGGAGUGCGGCUCUUCGAAUCACAAGCCAAUCUUCAUCUAUCUCAAUGGUAUACCAAAAAAUAGACAAAAGUCGUGGUGCUUUGAAAUAUGUGGUUGGAAGAAGAGGGGUGUAGGGACACAAUUGAAUUAGCAUGGCUUCAUGAUGUUCCCAGUCAUCCUAUGGCUCAGUUUGAAGGUAAAAUUAGUCAAUGCCAGCCCAAACUAAAAUGGUGGAGUCAUGUAGCAAUUGGGAACAUCACACACUUGUUGAAAGAGAAGAAUGAGUGUUGUGUAAGGCUGAAGAUGUAGUUGUGGUUGGGAGAUCCAAGAACCAGGUAAUAAGGUUGAAAAAGGAGAUAAAUGAUUUAUUACCUAAGGAGUAAAAAUUGUGGAAACAGCAUUCAAGGGCGCUGUGUUUGCAUGAAGGUGACAGCAAUAUUAUGAAAGUAAUGUGUAUUGCUGUCACCCUCAUAUUUCUGUGAAAAUAAGUAAAUUUUUAUCAGCAUUUGUUUUAAUGAAGUUCCAAAAUGUGUUGAUGAAAGCUGGUAUUGCAAACAUUUUGGUCGAUUUUUAUCAGAAUUUGUUUACUUCUUCUACCCUAGACCAGAUUGAUGUCACAUUAAAGGCCACCCCUGUGGUUGUCAUGGAGGAGAUGAAUUUGGAACUUUCUACAACUUUUGUGAGGACUGAAGUGGAUGCAGCUUUGCAGCAAAUGGAAUCAUUAAAAUUGCUAGGACCAGAUGGAAUGCCUCCCCUAUUUUUUCAACAAUAUUGGUCAACCAUAGGUGAUGAAGUGGCAGAUGCAAUUCUUACUUGUCUCAACACAAGUUUAGUCACCCCAUCCAUUAACCAAACUUUUAUCACUCUCAUUCCUAAAGUAUAAAUCUCAGUAAGAGUUUCAAAAUAUCACCCAAUUGCACUGUAAUAUUCUCUAUAAGCUUAUUUAUAAAGUUUUAGCAAAUAGACUUAGAAAUCUUACCAUGUGUAAUUUCUAAAUCUCAAAGUGCAUUUUAGUCUAACAAAGCUAUUUUAGAUAAUAUAUUAGUAGCUUCUGAGACCUUACAUCAUAUAAAGACUCAAAAAUCGAAGAAGGUGGGCUUUAUGGCCAUGAAGCUAGAUAUGAGUAAGGUGUAUGUCCGAGUUGAGUGGAAGUACUUGGUGAAAAUUAUGGAGAAAUUGUGCUUUUGUGAAAAAUGGGUCUCUCUUGUCUUUGAGUGUAGUAGCACAGUGUCUUAUUCAAUUUUGGUGAAUGGAGAGCCUAAGAGAGAUAUUUGGCCAUCACGAGGAAUUAGAUAAGGGGACCCAUUGUCUCCUUAUCCUUUCUUAUUAUGUUCCAAAUGUUUUAAUAGAAUGUUACAAAAGGCGGCUGAUGAUGAUCGUAUAAGGGGUCCAAGAAUCUCCCAUUAUUCUUUACAGAUGACAAUUUGCCAUUUUGUCGAGCUACUAUGUCAAAUUUACUAGUGAUACAGAGUAUCUUAACUUUGUAUGAGCAAGCUUCUGGCCAAAAGCUUAAUCAGGAGAAGACCACCAUCUUUUUCAGCAAGGCAGUGAAUGAAGAAACAAAAGACUCAAUCUCAAAUUUUUUGGGAAUGCUUGAAGUGAAAGGAUAUGAGAAAUACCUUGGCCUUCCGGCUGUGCUAGGGAGGAAUAAAAAAGCGUGUCUCAAUUAUAUAAAAGAAAAAGUAUGGAGUAAACUCCAAGGAUGGAAGGAGGAGCUACUAUCUCAAGCGGGUAGAGAGGUUUUACUAAAGUUGUGGUACAAGUGAUUCCCACAUUCGCCAUGAGUUGUUCAAGCUACGAUUGGGACUCUGUGACGAGAUUGAGUCACUAAUUAGAAAAUUUUGGUGGGGACAAAAGGGUGAGCAACAAAAAUUUCAUUGGAAACAAUAGGAGGUAUGUAAGCCAAAAUUAGAGGGAGGGAUGGGGUUCAAAGAUUUGGUGAAGUUCAAUGAAGUAAUGCUGGCGAGACAAGUUUGGAGAUUAAUGAAUGAUCAUAGCUCUCUUUUCUAUCAAGUCUUUAAAGCUAAAUAUUUUCCAAGGGGAUCAAUUUUUGAAGCAUCAGCAUCCUCGGGAUCUUAUGCUUGGCAGAGCAUAUUGAAAGCCAAGAAUGUGAUUUUCGGCUGGAAUGAGGUGGAGAUUAGGAGAUGGAAAGAAUAUAAAAUUUUACAAUGAAAAUUAGCAGCCGGGUAAUGAGUCUACUAAGGUUAUAUCACCAUGUGUGCCUGCUUUAGAAGGUGCCCUGUUAAUUUUCUGAUAAAUUUUGAUACUGGUAUGUGGGACUGCAAUCUGAUUGACCAGCACAUCCUUUGGUUUGAAGCCCAACGUAUAAAAGCUAUUCCGCUCUGUGUGUCGAGACAAGUGGAUAGUAUUAACUGGCCUCGGUGUAAGAAUGGCGAAUAUUUGGUUAAAACUGGGUAUCAGCAGCUGUUUGAGAAUGAAGGUAGGGGUGACGCGCUCAAAAGUUUUGAAUCAAAAGAAAUUUUGGAAUCGCAUUUGGAAGCCUAGAGUGCCAAAUAAAAUUUAAAACUUUUCUUUGGCAAGCUUGCUCUGAAGCUCUACCUACUAUGGAGAAUUUGAAGAAAAGAAAAAAUCUGGAGGAUACUAGGUUCAGUGCUUGUCUCACGGUUCAGGAGUCUACAUUCCAUGCCAUUUAGGGCUGUGAAAAACUUCACCAAAUCUGGAAUCCGUUCUUCGGCUGGAUUCAAAAAGAUUUUCCAGGUUUACAGGAUUUCAAGGAGCUAAUUCAUUUAGUUGGCCAACAAUCUCGAAGACUGGAAUUGUAUGCUAAUGUGGUGGGGUUCAUUUGGUUUCGCAGAAACAGGGUGAGAGACUUGAUGAAUGUGCUUGGCCCCUAACAGAAUCUUUGAAGCAGCAUGUAGCUACCUAUCGGAAUUCCAGCAGAAGUUUCCAAUGCACACAACUAAGCCACUACCGGGGGUAAUUAAAUGGAGACCUCUAUCGAGUGAUAUGUAUAAAGCAAAUUUUGAUGGGGCUGUGUUUGAAGACUCAGAUGAAGCAGGAAUAGGGUUGUAGUUCGCAAUGCCAAUGGGGAAGUGUUAGCGGCCUUAUCUGAGAAAACCCCCAAUCCUUUUUCAGUGGAGGUUCUUGGGGUUUUAGCUGCAAGAAGGGAAGCUCAGUUUACCGUGGAAUUGGGCAUUCAACACUUGAAAGGGAUUCUGAGAUGGUGUGUAAUGCUCUGAAAUUGGAUGGUUUUGAUAGUUCUCAAUCGGUCAGUUUGUAAAAGACGUUUUGUUAGUCUGGAUGGAGUUCCACUGACAUUUCUAAGUUUGUUCUUUCUGUUUCUUCAGCUUCUUAAUAAUAUUGCAUAGUCUUUUUCUUUAAAAAUAAAAAAUAAAUAAAUAAAUAAAAUAAAACUGAUCUGUCAUUUAAAGAUGGAGCAUGUUUCAUCUUACAUUUCUAAGUUUGUUCUUUCUGAUUCUUCAGCUUCUUAAUAAUAUUGCAUAGUCUUUUCCUUAAAAAAAAAUAAAAAAUAAAAACUGAUCUGUCAUUUAAAGCUUUUUAUUUAGCAUCUUAUAUUCUCAUAGAACCUGAACAUGUAAGCACUACCCUCCUAAUAAGCUUGUUGGAUUAUUAGAUGCAUAAAAAAAAAUUUGAUAGGAUAUGCUUUGAACAUGCAUUAUAUUGUUACCUUUAGUAAUAGCGUUUUUACUUAGACCAGAUUAUUUUAUGAUUUGUUUGGAUGAAUGUAGUUUAAUAGAAUGAUUUAGAUAUCAAUUUGCGUUUAAAAUUACUUAAAUAGAGUAUGAAAUAACAAAUUAUUUCUUAAGAAACAAACACUAAAUUAAGACUCCUUCUCACUCUAUGUUGGUGUUUAUAUGUUUGUGUUUGUAUUUGUAUAAUUGUAUCUAUUUCAUUUUUCUUCUUUCUUUUAAGAUAAACCAAAAACAAAAUUCAAAACAAAAAUAAAUUAAUAAAUAAAUGGUAUAACACUCUCUUAGUCUUUGGGUUUGUUAUCUGUUUCUUUUUCUUCUUUCUUUACAGAUGUAGGUCAUGACUUGCUCUCUUUCUCUCCCUUUUGAUGCGUGUUUGUGUUUGUAUAUUUCGUUAUCUUCUUUCUUUAAAGGCCACAAAAUUGAUUACCAGAAUUAGGAGGCAGGGGUUGCUCGGCUAGUUCCCAAUUCCAAUCAUCCAACGGCUUGGGGCGAAAUGGCGGGGUGGACGAACUAACUGGUUUGGAUCCAACGGCUGAAACUCUUGGGUUUGAUUAUUGUAAGGAUUGGGAGGUGGAGGACGAGUGCGAGGACGAGGGCAAAGCUCACAAGCUCAGCCUUUCUUCUCCACCAGGCGCCGCCGAUCUGACCGACACUCUCUCUAAUCUCAAAAUCUCAUUUCUGCUCAAAACCCUACACCUGAUCUGACCAUGCAUCAUGCUAGUGGCUUCUCUCUCGACCAACGACGAGCAGAUCAAGGAGCUGAUCUUCAAGGUUUUGAUUAUGGAGGCCAUGGUCCAUGGAGUCUUGAUGCAGAGAAAACGAUGUGAAAAUUCUCUCUUUGGUCUCUCUUGGGUCAGUUGGGUCUGUUGAUGAUUUUGGCUUGGAUUCUUGUUUAAUGAAUUUGGUUGAUUAAGUUAUGUUGAUGAAGCUGGGCAAUUGUGAUGAAUUUGGGUUGAUUUGGGUUGCAUUGAUGAAGUUGGGGUGAUUGUGAUGAAUUUGGGUUUGAUGAUUGGAAUGGGUUCGUUCUGCUUCGUUCUUAAUUUAAUUUUUUCUCUUUUUUUUUUUUUUUUUUUUUUUUUUUUUUUUUUUUUUUUUUUUUUUUACUUGUGAUCUGGGAAGUUUGAAGAACAAGAUGUAAUACUCUUACGAAAAAAAUAAUGAAUAGUAACCAAAAAAAUUAAUAAUUAAAUUAGAUAUAAGGUUUUUUUAAUUUAAUUUAUUUUUUUUUUGUUUAAAUUUUCUAAGAUGGCUCCUUUUAAAAAAUUAAAAUGUUGACAGCUCAUUUAAAAAAUAUCAACUAAAAUAUUUUAUUAUUAUUUUAUUAACUACAUCAAUAUUUACUGUGCAAAUAGGACAGUCCAUGAUUUUUCUGUUGACAGCAGGGAACUAAAACAAAAACGAUUUCUUAAUUUCAGAGACUGAGGUAGGUGCAAAAUUAAUUUAUGACCAAAAUAAAAAUAGGUCCAAAAUGUAAAGACAAAAAAAUGUAUUUUUACCGUUAAAGAAAUCAUGCAUCAAGAGCAUAUAAAAUGGGGUGUGUUCAUGACGUUUGGAGCCUAUCAGAGAGAGGUCAAACAGUUGGUCCAAGGAAUCUAUAGCAUUCACUGAAGCACUUUAGUCACAACAUGAUAAAUUAUUAAAGAUAAGUUACUUUCUAUCCAAAAAGGAAAAGUCAAAAGAUUAUGUAUAGGAGUAGCAAUUUUUAUUCAUAUUUAUGAACUUGUUCAUUACCCACUUUAUUUAAAUAAGUCUUAACCCAAUUCAUUUGAUUAUUUAGCUUAAAUUGAUAAAGACUUAUUUGGUUAUUUAAUUAGAUGGGUCUAAAUAGAUAAAUCUACUAAUACCCAUUACACCCAUCUAAAAUUUAAAAUUAAAUAAACCCACUAAUACCACUAAACCCAUCUAAAUUCUAAAACUUAAAUAUCAAUACGAUCUCAGUCUCACUUUCCCAGAUUUUCUCAUUAUCCAAACACUUUCCCAAACACUUUUAACUUUCUCAUUAUAAGAUUUUCUCAUUGUCAGAUUUUCUCAUUAUCUAAACACUUUACCAGACUUUCUCAGUCUCACUUUCCCAGAUUUUCUCUCGUAUUUUCUCAGUAACCAAACAAAAGGAAAUUCUAAAGAGAGAACUAAGUGUACUUGUCGUCGACAACAACGGCUUUGGAGUAGUCCGACAGCUGCUUCUCCAGCGAGGCCCCAGGAGAGUGGUACAGAGGCGUCUCAAGAGGGUCGCCGAGUUCAGAUUGGUGCGGCGAAUGGAUUCGGAGUGGUAAGUGAGGCGAGUCAUUGUAGUGAGCCGAUGAAUCAAAGUUUUUCGAUGAAGACUUUUUCAUGUUCGCCUUGUUCUUCUGGUUUUGCUACUGCUGCUGUUACUGUGGUAACGUUUCUUGGCUUUGCUUUUGGUUUUGAGUUUGAGUUUCCACUCGUUGCUUUGGCUUUCUUUGAUGUUAAGGCAAGUGAGAAAGAGAAAGAAAGAGAGAGAAAAAGCAAAUGAAAGUGAUUUGAACUUUUUUUUUCUUUUUCUUUUUGAAGUUGUAAACUUUAACUUACUGAGAAGAAAAAAAAAAAAAAAAUCUCUUUGUGGCUUUGUUUGGUUGGUGAGAAAUGAAUUUUGUGAAAGGAAAAUGAGAAGAAAGAAUAGGAAAAGUGAUUUUUGAACUUUUUAAUUUUUGUUUUUAAAGUUUUUAACAAGUUAUUUAUUUAUUUGGGUUAUAUUGGGUUAAAUGAGCGAAUUACUAAUUAAAUGAGUUACGCAGAUAAUAGAUAAUUAAUUUAUAUAUAAACGGAUCAUAAAUAGAUAAAUAGGUAAUUACAAACCCAACUCAUUUAAGACCCAACCCAUUUAUGACCCAACCCGCCCAUUUGCCACCCCUUUAAUAUGCCAUACAUUGAAGACCGCCCACUACUAGAACUUCAAAAGGUUAUGUAUAAUAUGUCAGACAACUGUGUUUAAAAAAACGCAGAUGGGAGAUACAUUCUAAACUUCCCAUGGAAAAUGCUGCCAGCUUCAAGUAAACCACGUAUGGCUGGCAACCCUCAUAUUAUAAGAUACAUUCUAAACUCCCCAUGGAAAAUAAUGCCAGCUUCAAGGAAAACAUGA
rnacentral:sRNA from 1 species